GCAUUGCUGGUGUAGUGGUAUCAUGCAAGAGUCCCAUUCUUGCGACCCGGGAUCGAUUCCCGGGCAGUGCA
rnacentral:tRNA from 1 species